GGAACUGCCUUUGACAACGAGACACAGAAGUGAUGAGAUGUUUUCACAGUUACCAUACUGACGACUCCCAUCCUGGUUGCAUAGAAGAAUCACCCCCUACGCUUGCUAAAAAUCCAGGUUCCCAGGUCAAGUGAACAGGAUCAGAUUCUCAGGCAGAUGAGACACCACUGAGCUACAUUCCUGGCCCCCGAGCUGAUUGUUUGAACUAGGGAGACUUCAGCUGCAGAUGGCUUCACAGUGCUGUUUCCAAGUGACCAGGUUGACCGUUGCCUCCCCAAAAGCCACAGUGACUUCCAGGAUGGUGGCACCAGGAGCCUCAGCCCGUGCUGCUGCCACCACCACCAAGGUGACACUUAGAGCAACGAGUACUUCACAGGACACCCAAACGGCAGCGCCCACGAUGACCACAACCCACGGCCCCACUAAUAACCACUGUUCAUUCAUAAGAAAACAGAGACUCGACAUUUCUUCCUGGCAGCAUGGUGGUGGUGCUGCAUUGGCACUGGGAGUUUCGUCUACACUGGAUGCAAAGGGUCUGGCUCAAGAAGAGGCAUUCAGCAUAGAACCACGGAAGAACUUGAGGCCGUCACUUAAGGAACUGUAAGAACCAAGGAGAGAAGGGACUCUGAACACUUACAAGACGUGCCCAGAAACACACGACAUGCGUGUGUAAUAUGCACACACACGCGCCUUUGCGAAGUCUCUCUGCCGCUUCUCUUCCGUGGCUGGGGGUGAACCCAGGGGUCUGCACACCACCCAGCUCAGCUCCACAGCGUGCCCAGCCGCCCUCUGCUGAACACAGA